rnacentral:lncRNA from 1 species
UAGACAAUUACUUUCUUACUAUAUAUUUAAUUUAAUAAAUAUUGUAAUUUAAUUUAUUUGCAGGUUAUGCAAAAGACUCAAAGAAAAUUAUUUUGGUAGAUAAGCUUGAUGGUGUCCAAAAACCCAUAGAUAUAGAACCUUUUGAUCCAAAUAAGCACAUAAAAACAAGGGAACAAAGACUGAGGGAAAAAGGAGCAAGGCUGGUGGAAAAGGAAGAAAGCGCAAGGGCAGAGGCAAGAGCAAGGGCAGCGAGAAGGCCAAGGCAUUAUUAGUUGUAAAAAAAAUGUAUAAAAUAAAGCAUACACUAUAAUCAUUGCAUGAUUGGGUGAAUAAAUAAUAAUAAUAAAAUUGAUGUUGUAUAUCUUUCAAAAGAAUAUCGAUGUUUUACAUACUAUGUAUAAUUGUUUAGGUAAAUUUAUGUACAUGAUCAUUUUUACUUUUUUUUAGAACAGAUUAGCCUCUUUAAUCUCAUUUAGUUCCUUUAUUUAUAAUUCAUGGACAACUAAUUAAUUAUUUUUUAUCAACAU